rnacentral:rRNA from 2 species
GCUAGUUGUAUUAACUAUUAGUUAAUACAAGAUCGACUAUGUCGACUAAAGUUCUAGGUAGAAUAAUGAUGAUGACAAUUUUCUACCUAUAUGUCUUGACCAAAUCUCGUGCCAGCAGUCGCGGUAAUACGUGAAAGACUAGUGUUAUUCAUCUUUAAUAGGUUUAAAGGGUACCUAGACGGUUUAUCUAGCCCAAAACAGGGUACGGAUUUUCUAGAGUUUUAUGUGAGGAGGGGAGUACUCAUAGAGUAAAGAUGAAAUUUUGUGAUACUAUGGGGAAACUGGUGGCGGCGAAAGCAACCUUCUAUGUAUAAACUGACGUUGAGGGACGAAGGCUUGGGUAGCAAAUAGGAUUAGAUACCCUAGUAGUCCAAGCAGACAAUUCUGAAUGCCAUAGAUUAGAUUUUUUUUUGGUCUAUAAAUGAAAGUGUAAGCAUUCCACCUUAGGAGUAAUGUGGCAACACAGGAACUGAAAUCAUUAGACCGUUUCUGAAACCAGUAGUGAAGUAUGUUAUUUAAUUUGUUAGUCCUCAAAAAACCUUACCACAACUUGAAUAUUAUUUAAUUAAUACAAGCGUUGCACGGCUGUCUUCAGUUAAUGUCGUGAGAUUUUGGUUAACUCCCUCAAUUAACGUAAACCCUUACUUU